rnacentral:rRNA from 1 species
AUGGCGACGGCGUUCAAGGCGUUCGUGAACAGCCCCGUCGGCCCCAAGACCACCCACUUCUGGGGCCCCGUCGCUAACUGGGGCUUCGUCCUCGCGGGUUUGGUUGACUUGAACAAGCCUCCUGAGAUGAUAUCUGGCAAUAUGACAGCCGCCAUGUGUGUGUAUUCUGGGCUCUUUAUGAGGUUCGCGUGGAUGGUACAGCCCCGGAACUACUUGCUUCUGGCAUGCCAUGCCUCCAACGAAACCGUUCAGCUCUAUCAUUUAUCUCGCUGUGCUAGGGCUCAGGGGUAUCUGGAUUCCAAGAAAGAGCCGGAGGCCCAACAGUAA